rnacentral:rRNA from 1 species
AUUGAACGCUGGCGGCAUGCCUAACACAUGCAAGUCGAACGAGUGGCGUACGGGCGAGUAAUGUCUGGGCAACUGACUGAUGGAGGGGGAUAACUACUGGAAACGGUCGCUAAUAACGCAUACCAUCGGCUAUGCCCAGAUGGGAUUAGGUAGUAGGUGGGGUAAAGGCUCACCUCGGCGCCGAUCCCUAGCUGGUCUGAGAGGGUGACCAGCAACAGUGGAACGGAGACACGGCCCAGACUCCUACGGGAGGAAGAAGUGGGGAAGAUUGGACAAGGGGCGAAAGCUUGAUGCAGCCAUGCGGGGUGUGUGAAGAAGGUUUUCGGGUUGUAAAGUACGUUCAGCGGGGAGGCGUUACCCUCAGAAAAAGACCCGGCUAACUACGUGCCAGCAGCCGCGGUAAUUC